rnacentral:rRNA from 1 species
AUACGUAGGGUGCGAGCGUUGUCCGGAAUUACUGGGCGUAAAGAGCUCGUAGGUGGUUUGUCGCGUCGUCUGUGAAAUUCCGGGGCUUAACUCCGGGCGUGCAGGCGAUACGGGCAUAACUUGAGUACUGUAGGGGAGACUGGAAUUCCUGGUGUAGCGGUGAAAUGCGCAGAUAUCAGGAGGAACACCGGUGGCGAAGGCGGUUCUCUGGGCAGUAACUGACGCUGAGGAGCGAAAGCAGGGGUAGCGAACAGGAUUAGAUACCCUGGUAGUCCAUGCCGUAAACGGUGGGCGCUAGGUGUAGGGGUCUUCCACGACUUCUGUGCCGUAGCUAACGCAUUAAGCGCCCCGCCUGGGGAGUACGUCCGCAAGGCUAAAACUCAAAUGAAUUGACGGGG